rnacentral:rRNA from 1 species
AGAUUCAUCGUCAGCGCAUUUGGUAUAUGUGCGGAUUACGAUGCAAGUUGUCCUUGUGAUGUUGCUUGCACGUGUCUGUAUCAUUUAAUUGCCGGAUGUCGUCGGCGUGCACUUCUCCCCUAGUAGGACGUCGCGACCCGUUGGGUGUCGGUCUACGGCCCGGAUGGUAGUCUUUGAAGUCACCGUAAGGUGUUAUUUUGAAGACCACUGGUGUUUUCUGACCGGCUGCCCGGCGGUAUUCGUACGGUAUUGAGCCGCAAUUAUAUAUGCGUCAAACCCGCCGCGAGUGAAGUCAAUGUUCCGGUAGUUAUGGACUUAGUGCCGUCGCUGGGCUUGACUAGCUGUUGGUUGUGCGGUGUUCUAUGACUGGCUCGUUUAUUAUAUAUUGAUUACCGGUCGGCGACGCUAUUGCUUUGGGUACUUUCAGGACCCGUCUUGAAACACGGACCAAGGAGUCUAACAUGUACGCGAGUCAUUGGGAUUUAUUUUUUUAUAAAAAACCUAAAGGCGUAAUGAAAGUAAAGGUUGGCCUUGCGUUAACUAAGGGAGGAUGAGUUGCGUUACGAUGCUACUCCGCACUCCCGGGGCGU